CUCCAGACUCCUACGGGAGGCAGCAGUGGGGAAUAUUGCACAAUGGGGGAAACCCUGAUGCAGCGACGCCGCGUGAAGGAAGAAGUAUUUCGGUAUGUAAACUUCUAUCAGCAGGGAAGAAAAUGACGGUACCUGACUAAGAAGCCCCGGCUAACUACGUGCCAGCAGCCGCGGUAAUACGUAGGGGGCAAGCGUUAUCCGGAUUUACUGGGUGUAAAGGGAGCGUAGGCGGCGAUGCAAGUCAGAAGUGAAAGCCCGGGGCUCAACUCCGGGACUGCUUUUGAAAUUGUGUUGCUAGAUUGCAGGAGAGGAUAGUGGAAUUCCAGGUGUAGGAGUGAAAUCCGUAGAUAUCUGGAGGAACAUCAGUGGCGAAGGCGACUAUCUGGCACAUAACUGACGCUGAGGAGCGAAAGCGUGGGUAGCAAACAGGAUUAGAUACCCUAGUA
rnacentral:rRNA from 1 species